GAUGAACGCUGGCGGCGUGCUUAACACAUGCAAGUCGAACGAAGAUGCCGGAGUGCUUGCACUUUGGCAGACUGAGUGGCGGACGGGUGAGUAACGCGUGGGUAACCUGCCUUAUACAGGGGGAUAACAGUUGGAAACGACUGCUAAUACCGCAUAAGCGCACGGUAUCGCAUGAUACAGUGUGAAAAACUCCGGUGGUAUAAGAUGGACCCGCGUCUGAUUAGCUUGUUGGUGAGGUAACGGCCCACCAAGGCGACGAUCAGUAGCCGGCCUGAGAGGGUGAACGGCCACAUUGGGACUGAGACACGGCCCAAACUCCUACGGGAGGCAGCAGUGGGGAAUAUUGCACAAUGGGGGAAACCCUGAUGCAGCGACGCCGCGUGAGUGAUGAAGUAUUUCGGUAUGUAAAACUCUAUCAGCAGGGAAGAUAAUGACGGUACCUGACUAAGAAGCACCGGCUAAAUACGUGCCAGCAGCCGC
rnacentral:rRNA from 1 species